AGCUUGCUUGUUGGGGUUGUAGGACUGAACAUUAGAGUUACCAAAGUGCGACGUAGUCGCAACAGUUGGGAAGCUGUGCCAUAGAGGGUGAAAGCCCCGUAGACGAAACGUCGCACUCUCUGUUCAGGAUCCUGAGUACGGCGGGACACGUGAAACCCCGUCGGAACCCGCGAGGACCAUCUCGCAAGGCUAAAUACUCCCUAGUGACCGAUAGUGAACCAGUACCGUGAGGGAAAGGUG
rnacentral:rRNA from 1 species